AUUGAACGCUGGCGGCAGGCCUAACACAUGCAAGUCGAGCGGAGCGGCGGACGGGUGAGUAAGGCCUAGGAAUCUGCCUGGUAGUGGGGGCUAACGUCCGGAAACGGGCGCUAAUACCGCAUACUAUCAGAUGAGCCUAGGUCGGAUUAGCUAGUGGGGGGGGUAAAGGCCUACCAAGGCGAAGAUCCGUAACUGGUCUGAGAGGAUGAUCAGUCACACUGGAACGGAUACACGGUCCAGACUCCUACGUGAGGCAGCAGUAGGGAAUAUUGGCCAAUGGGCGAAAGCCUGAUCCAGCAAUGCCGCGUGUGUGAAGAAGGUCUUCGGAUUGUAAAGCACUUUAAGUUGGGAGGCGUUACCAACAGAAUAAGCACCGGCUAACUUCGUGCCAGCAGCCGCGGUAAUUC
rnacentral:rRNA from 1 species